UUGUCGCCAUAGAUCAAUCUCUUGGUUAAACUGCUUAAUUCAACUUGAUUCUGCCUAAAAUUCAAUACAAACUAUUUAUAGCAGACAGGCGCAUGUCUGCAAAAAAUGGAACACUUAAUUAGUAAUCAUGCUAAUGCAUGAGAAUCUUAUUUAUCUCGUACAUUGAUAAUAUUAAUUUAAACGUAUUACAUCAAAGACGUAUAAUAUAAUGUUUUUUUUAUAGGUCUUUGAUUACUUGCACGCAAGCCAAGGUUGUCUGCCUGUGGACAAAUUUUAAUGAUUAUUUAAACACAUAUUUGCAGAAUAUUAAAAAAGUCUGUGUAUUAAGAAAUAAUUAAAUUCGUAAUGUUUAUUGUACAAAUUUAUUUCAGAAAAUAAAAUAUUCACCACCGCCUUGUUUGCCAACAUCGUCUUUACAAAGAAUGUCCAGCAGUGCAUGACAGAGGCCGGUCACUCCCAUUAAGUCAAGGCAGCUGAAGAGCCUUCCCAAAGACAGUUCAUAGGACAAAAUGCAGUUACACAUAUCUUAACGGUGUUGGAAACAAUGAGAGAUGAGAACAGGGAAAUGAAGCGGAUGCUGCAGCGGCUCUUGGCUAGGUCAGCUACUGAUGACAAGCCAAUGCAACUGCCAGAGAACAUCAGUCUUCCAAUUGGAACAUUUGAGCAAAUGGAUGAGUUUGAAGAGCAUCUUGGUGAUGAAGCUACGAUCCAUCUUUUCUAGGACUGCUGCAUAGUUCAAGCUUUUUUAUCAAAUAUAUUAAGCAAUGUUGUAAAUGUAAUUGACAGUUUUUUCUCCAUUGAUCCUAAACCAUUCCUUUAAGGCUCUUCUUCUAAGAAAGCAUACAAUCUUUUUUAUCUGGAAAUGAAACGGUAUAUAUUCCUUUGCAAAAUAAGAAACAGCAUUCCAGUUUUUGAUGGUUUUAAAAGACAUAUAUAUAUAUAUAUAUAUCAUGUGCAGUUACGAAAAACACUAGAAUGUAUGAAGAUAUCAAAGAUAAUAAUGUGGACUUGUUCUCGAAAAAGGAUUUGCCAUUUAUUUGAGUUUUGGAUUUUUCUGCAGGGUUUUUAAUUUGUAGUUUAUAAAAUAUUUUGUUUAGUCUUGCAAGUAUGUUUUCUACGAAUGUUCUUUGAGUACAUGGUGUGUUAUCUGUAUUGGUUAAAGAUUUAAUAUGCAUGGGCAGAGCUCCAGAUAAGGUUUUGUGAAAUUCUUAAAUUACUACCAGAUUUUCAAAAAGAAUUCUUAACUCUGAAAUUUUAUUCUUAACGUUACAACUAAGUUUUGGAAAAUAAUUCUUAUUUUUUGUAAAUGACCUAAAAAUAAAUAAUAAUGGUUAUUUUCAUGCAAAAAAAAUCAAAAUAAACAUACUAGCAACUUUAUUUAUACUA